rnacentral:tRNA from 1 species
GCUUCAGUGAUCGAGCUGGCUAAGACAUUCGCCCCAAAAAGUCGAGAGAUCCCAGGUUCAAAUCCUGGUUGAGGUA